UUCUCCCUCAUCAGCAUCAACCCCUGUGACCUCCGAAAUGAGUAAAAGGAUCUCAAGUCGGGAUGGUGGAGAGGAGCGAGCGGUAGGUGUGAACUGACUACUGCCCUCUGACCUGUAAACCCAGAAAAAACGAUAGGAAGCUAAACACCCCCGCUCCCCCUCAUCAUCCCCCCCAGCCACGGCCUCUCCCCCGCCACCACAGUGAUGCGGUUUCCACAAGGGGGGGGGCAGGGACAGUGGUGGGGGCCUCCAUGAUUCUCCCGAGCCAGAAAAUACAUAUGUGGUGCUCACGCAGUCACUUGGGCUUAAUCAACUGAACAAGCCUCUGCUUCUUAGAGAGAAAGACAGAGAACAGCCACUGACUGUCAUUACUGCUGCCUGCUGUCUAGGAAAGCUGAGAACGGUAGAGAAUGAUUUCUGUUCUUUCUCAUGAUACGUUAGUAAAUUCUAUGUACAUUAUUAGUUCUUAAUAAGUUAGAAUGUUGGUUUCAUGAAUACAGUUCUUGUCCUGUGUACCAAAAUUCCUUAAGGCCCCAGGGCCUUUGCUUUCGUGUGCAGAACUUCCAGUGGGAAACUUUGCCUGGGUGUCUUUUAUACGAAGACCAAUAUCCUUGCCAGUGUUUACGUCUUAAGUAUUAUUACGGGUGAAAUGUUCAACAGAGCCGGGCUACAUUCUUCAAUAGAAAAGGCAUCUAUGAGGGAAGAGUAGAAAAAUAUCAAAAACAGUAAACUCACCUAGUUUUCAGUCUCAGCUUCAAGCGUCCAGGCAACCUUCGAGACGUUUGGAAACACAACACCGCCACCUUCUGGUGGAGUCAUGCCAUCGUUCUCUCUGCCAGUCGAUGGGGAGAUGGUGAAGCAUCCUGCCGCUAAGAUUGCUGAAGUGCCAGCAGUUUGUCCCUCCAUGCUCCACACUGACCACAGUUGUCCUGCUACUGCUCCUGGCCAAGUUAACACAGAAGACAACAGUGUUCUGGCUAAGCUGCUGGAAGCUUCGAGGAGCAACUACUACAGAUACUAUGGCAACUGCAGACACCUGUGAGACAGUGCCUUGGGUUCAAAGUCUGGCUGCCAUUGCUGAGCUGGAAAAGGCAGAGGCCACCAAGCUGGGAUAGCUGUGUACUGGAUCAGUUUGACCAAGUAUUCUCUCCUAAGGGUUGGGCAUGAUGGAAAAACGAAGGAGAGUAUGGUUGGGGGAAACUCACAGGUAGGUGGUACAGCUUUGGAGACCAUGGCCAAGAGAGUUGGUCAUAAAGCUGCCUAAGCAAUAAAUGGGUGAGUGGGAAUUUUGCUAAUUCUUUUCCAUUGGGGUUCUUUCCAAGUGACUGGUUCACUGGAAAUGCACCUGGAGCUACCAUUUUUCACUCAGCAGGUUCUUCCAUAGAGAUCUAAGAAUACAGUCAGUCUUAAGAAAUGGUUAUUGGAGGGCUGGCUAGGUAGCUCAGUAGGUAAAGGCUCUUGUCACCAAGCUGGAUGACAUGAAUUCAACCCUCAAGACAUACAUGGUAGAAAUUAAGAACAGACUUCUUCAAGCUGUUAUCUGAUCAUGGUGUGUGCAUAUUUGCACACACACACACCCAUACACACACCCACCCACCCACACACACACACACACACACACACACACACACACACACACACACAUGAACACAGACAUACAUACUAAAUAUAGUUAAAAAGAAAUAGUGAUGGGAAUGAAUGAAUUUUGUAUUUCAUUUCUGAACACCCUGCUGGGACCAGACUGGAAGUAAAUUUCCAUUUACUACCCCACCAACUUGACCCCAAACCCCACAACAGGAAAGGGAAGUGCUCACAGAGCAACCCUGCUUGUUUCUUCUCCAUCCAUGUAUGGAGAUGUGGGAGAUAUUGGAAUAAGCAAGCAAGAUGAUUACAUUUUCACAGUCAAGCUGUGGCCUCCGAGGAACAUCUUUUUAUAAGAAUAUGCAUCUUAGUCAUUGCUAUUAACAUUAUCAUGAAGAAAAUUGAUAGCAGUGUGAACAAGUUUAUGGACAUAAAUCCAGGCUCACCCAGGCAUCCUCUCCUCUUUGGCUACAAGAAAAGCACUGUUCCUGUUUGCCCAUUCAUUGCAGAAUUCCUUGUCUAGAGAUGCUCUUGCUGACUGACUGGCUUUUGCUGUGCUCUGUCUGUCACGACGGAACCUUAGUUUCAAAACCACCAAAGCGAUUGUAACCUCUUUAAUGGGAUUUCACAUUUAGGGGCUAGGAUUGGCUCUGAUUCUGUUUGUAAAAUUACAUUUUAGAAUUCUCUCUCUCUCUCUCUCUCUCUCUCUCUCUCUCUCUCUGUGUGUGUGUGUGUGUGUGUGUGUGUGUGAGAGAGAGAGAGAGAGAGAGAGAGAGAGAGAGAGAGAGAGAGAGAGCAUGGCUGUCAUGUGGCAGUCAGAAGAGGUCAGAGAACAGCUUGCUCUACUCAUGUCAACAGGCUUGAUGUCCGGCUCCAUUUCCAUUGAGUCGUCUCUUAGGUCCCUGGUGGAAUCUUAUUUGAGGAUCUCACUUUAUCUCUCGACUUGAGAGAUUAACGGACAUUUAACAUACACUUGUGAAUCAUAACUAUAUAUAUAUAUAUAUAUAUAUAUAUAUAUAUAUUCCUCUUAAAGACCCUCUAGUGACAUUAGAAAUAACCCAAGAAAAUCCUUUAGGACCCUUGUUCUAUUUGGUGUUCUGGGAGGAAUUUUUACUAAAUGUAAGCCAAUGUUUAGAAUCCAGGUCCUCUCUGGAGUAGAGAAAGCAAGUGAGACAGAGGACUGUACGUCUCUUGGUGUGGUUUUCCUUGCCCGGCUCCAUGUUCACUUACUGGUCCAACCUCUUCUUAAGCAAAAGGACUACCCUGCUAGAAGGUUCUUCUGGGUCAGCCAUCACCUUGAACUGUCUCUGGGUCUGCAGUGCAGUGUGAACAGCAGGAGGCAUUUGGCUGUGGAGUGGGCCAGCUCUGCUCCAUGUUCCAGCUUUCCCCUGACUAGGUGUGCUCUUAUGAUGUCGUUGGAGGCUUCUGUCUACUUACCCAUAAAGAAGCGGUGCCGUGAAAUCUGCGUGGACUAACGCAUGUCACACCUGGACUGUAACAGUUGCUUCUUCAGUCUCACCUGAGGGAGAAACACGAAGCCCCGAGUUUUCUGUGUCCCUGCUGUGAACUAUGGCUCUGCAUUAAGUCUUUGCUAGUGACAUAUGAACGUCAUAGUCAACAGAGACAGCUGCACCACGUGGACCUGCUUACGGCUUUAGAGAUUGUGAGAGCGGGUGGACUGGAGGGAGCCAUUUUCUCAGUGAGCACACCAGACCAGAACUCUUUAAUGACUUGACUUGGGGGAAAUCUCAAAGUCCCAGGGUGGAACUUUAAGAAGGCAUUUUGUAUUUAACCCGAUGCUGCCAAGUAGGAAUAAACCUCGGGAAGCAUGGAGAUAAACUGAAUUGGGGGACAGGUUCCCAGUUACCCUCAAAGUGUGCUCUGUUGGGAGGGCUGGAUUGCCCAGUAAGGAAUGUCUUUGAUCCUCUGAUGGGUUUGGUGCAUCAUGGACUGUCUUUACUCCUCUACUCUCCUAAUAAGCACUUCAGCCACCAGCAGAUGCUAUGACAGAAGCAGGACACAGGCUUCUUAACAUCACAGAAUCCCAACCAUUCUUCACGGCACCUCAUAGAGGCAGCAAUGUAAACCAUAUCCAUUCACUCCUUCCUCCCAGGUAAGAAUGUCUACGCAUCUGGAAGAACUAACUCUGAAAUUUACCUUUUAGGCACAGAAAAAUACAUUGUAACUCCAGUGAACCAGUGCAGAUGAAGAAGGCAUUGUGUGUGAUGAUGGCUCAUACCUGUGAUCCUAGCACACAUAAGGCUGAGGCAGGAAGACUGUGAGUUUGAGGCUAACCUGGGCUAUAUAGUGAAGUCCUGCCUCAAAAAACCAAAACCAAAUAAAAAGCAAAUCAAAACAAGGAAGGAGAAAAAAAGAACCUUAGAAGUUAUAACUAGGUUUUGACAACUGUGUACAUUUUUACUGAUUUUGUUGUGUUGUUGAUGUUUUGACUUCAAAUAUCCAGCAGAGGGCAUGAAAGGAAUUGGUUUAGUCGGGUGUACUAUGGACUGUGGGAGGGAUGGGCAAAGAAAAUGCAAAAGGGAAUGUGUGAAUUCCACGUUAUAGUCCUCAGACAGGGAAGUACUUGCAACAUUGUAACUUCUGUUGUUUCUUUUCUUUCUAGCCUUUGUUUAAAACACUCAGCUCAUUUCUCUUUAAGUCUAUGUAUAAAACACACAGGACAGCAUGAAGUAAAGUGGGUGAUUUUACUCAGAUUGGUUACUUUUCUGUUGCUGUGAUAAAAUGCAACAAACAAGGCAACUCAUAAAAGAAAGUGUUUGUUUGGAUUUAUGAAUCCAGGGGAUAAGAGCCUGUCAUGGCAGGAAAGUACGGCAGAUGGCAAACCACAUGGGGCAGAAACUGAGGACUCACAUCUUAAGUUGCAAGCACAAACAGGAAAAAGAAAGAGCACAUGGAAAUGGCUCGUCUUUGAAUUCUUCGAGGGCCACCUGCAGUAUUAUACUUCCUCCAAAAUGGCCACACCUUUUAAACAUCAACUGGGAAUCAUCUUUAUUAGUAUUUUAUUGCUUUGAAGAGACACCAUAAAAAAGGUGACUCCUCUUCCUCCUCCUCCUUCUCCUCCUCCUCCUCCCCCUCCUCCUCCUCUUUAGAAUUAUUUACUUAUUACAUGUAUAUGAGUACACUGUAACUGUCUUCAGACACACCAGAAGAGAGCACCAGAUCCCAUUACAGAUGGCUCUGAGCCACCAUAUGAGUGCUAGGAACUGAAUUCAGGACCUCUGAGAGAAAUGUCAGUGAUCUUAACCUCUGAGCCAUCUCUCUAGCCCCACCAUGGCAACUCUUAUAAAGGAAAUAAUUUAAUUGGUGCUGUCUUACAGUUCAGAGGUUUAGUCCAUUAUCCUUAUGGUGGGCAGCAUGGCAGUGUGCAGGCAGACAUGGUGCUGGAAAAGUAGCUGAGAGUUCUACAUCCAGAUCAGCAGGCAGAAGGCAAAGAGUGAGACACUGGGCUUGGCUUAAGCUUCAGAGACCUCAAAGCCCACCCCCACAGUGACAGACUUUCUCCAACAAGGCCACACUUACUCUAGUAAGGCUGUACCUCCCAGUCGUGCCACUCCCUCUGAGCCUAUGAGGGUCAUUUUCAUUCAAACUACUAUAUCGAUCAAGUUUUCAAAUGUGACUAUGGGCCACCACAAGCACAACACCAGAUAUAAGACAUCACAUAACAUUGUACUCACAAUAAAGCAAGUCUCCUUCAGACCACUAGAGCUCCCUCAGCAGAACAUCACCAUCCACUUGGCUUCCAAUCAUAGGCUUAGGGGAUAAAGGGAGAAGGCUUUAGCAUUAGCCAAGAGGUUAAACACAACUGAGGACUUAGCAGUUAAAAUUAAACAAGAAUCGGUAAGAUGUGUGUGUGUGUGUGCGUGUGUGUGUGUGUGUGUGCGCGCGCGCACAUGCGCACAUGCCCAUGCACACAUGCAUAUUUUCUAUCCACACAUCUAUGUAAAUGUAUGUGUUUAUGCACAUCUCUUUCCCUCUUUUUGGUGUGAUCUUAAGACACACAUACAUCAGUACAAUAUUUACCAAAUGUCUACUGUAGCAUGUAGGUUUUGCUAUCCUGCUUUAAGCUCUGUGUGCGCUGUGCUACCAGCCCCACCCACGUUCCCUUGGAUCUGUGGAUGAAACACACACAUUAAUAUAAUUUUCAACCUGCCUUAUGGCUCAGUUGCUGGGUGCUUCUAAUGUCCUGCCAGAGGAAACAGCCUAUGGCCUCGCCUCCCGAGAUCUCACAUCUCACCUUUUCUCCCUCGGAAGCAUGGCAAAAAUUCUCUUCCCUCCUCUGCUUCUGUUAGUCUGCCUAUGGGGACCCAGAAGUCCUGCCUAUUUCAUCUAGCUCAUUGGCCACUAGCAUCUUUAUUGAUGGAUCAAAAUCAAUUGGGAAUAGGACCUUAGCAGCAGAACUACCCCCUACAGUUUAUAAAGUGCUACAUUUUAUAUUAAGCACCUGAAACACUGCUUUCAUCUUAUAAUCACCCUACAAAGAUUUCUAUAAAGGCGACAAAGCACCUGGGAACAUUUUUUCAUGGGUCUCUCAGAUUUCCAUGUGUUUUAGGAGGAAAGCACCAAUUGCCUUUUGUUCUGGCCUAUGUCUUCCAAGCAUGUUCACAUAGCAGUUUGGCUUGGAAAGAUGGAGACCAUGUUUGCUUCUGGAGCAAAGAAUGGGUACUAUCCAUCGCAGUAAGAUUUAGGGUCCUUGAAUAGAGAGUUUCUCUUCUAAAAUGUAAAUGGUUGCCCCAUUCAAUUUGGAAGCAUGAGGAGCCUAUGUCACUAUGCCUCACUCCCGUUACUUGCUACAUGACCAUGAAAGCAAAACCUUUAGUCUCUUGACCAGGAUUUAUGCCUCUUAUCAACAUCCAGGACACUAUGACAAGCCACCUGUUUAGAUGCCAAGAAGGAAAAAUGUCAGGUCCAUCACAGUUCUUGAAGCUAUGUAAACUAACUUUCAGUACAGAUGUGGAUUCCCCUGACUCAGUCCAAGCGCGAUGACCGAAGAAGAGGUUAAGUAACUUGGCUCGGAGUCAAGCUGUGUCUGAACCUUUGAGUCACCCUUUCAUCCCUCUGCUCUUUGCAUCAGAUGGUGACACUUGGCUAAACAUAAAGAAAAUUCAAAGAGAACACAGUUUAUAUCAGGAAGGUUAGACAUUUGGUCAUGCUAAGAGAAUGUUUUCUAUUGCAACAUUAGGACUUUAGCAAGAAUUAUCCCAGGGUGGUUUAUUUAUUUACAUUUCUCCUAAAAAGAAUGAUGGGCUUUUCUUCCUUGGUGACGUUUUCAUAGAAAAUGCAAGUUCAUUGUUUGCAUUGAAGUCUUGUGAUAGAAGGUAAAAAAAGAACUACAUCACCAACUAACAACUCUUGGGAAGGCUAUGUGUGCCAAACUGUGUGCGCCGAGCUAUGUGUGCUGAGCUGUGUAUGCUGAGCCGCAUGUGCCAAGUUCUGGGCGCCAAACUGUGUGUGCAGCGCUGUGUGCAUCGAGCUAUGUGCACCGAGCUGGUGCAUUACUCAGAAAUCCUUCUUCGUGCUGGUGUCCUUCAUGAUGGAAUCACAGAUAGACAGUGUGAGGGAGGUUAGCUCACGUUUAAGGUUGACAGAGACAGGGCUGUGGAAUGAUAAAGUAAAUAUGAAAAAUUAAUCCCUCUCAGAUGUCAGUUCCUGAUAAUGUAGCUGUUGGGUGCAUUUGGUCAGUGGAAGAAGUUAAAAGUGAGGGACCGUAAGCAGCUGAAUAGCAUGAAGCAAUCAUUGAGAGUUAGCAGACCAAGACAGCAGGGGUUGAAAUAGCUUCUCAGAAACAGAGAAUCCUUGAUUUAAAGUCCUGUCACAUUUUUUUGUAAAGCAUAUGUGUGCCACUAAACAUCUUCUGGACAAACAGAAUCCUUCUACAGGACACUUUAGUCCAUUGGCACUAGUUCAAGAAGCAGCUACCCAGUCCAGUCUGAGAGGACCAGGUGGUUGCGAAAGGUGACUUUGCUCUUAAAUAGUUUCCAAUCCAGUAAGGGGGAUCGAACAUAUAAAUGAAUAAUGAUAGUAGAGUGUGAUGCGGGAAAGACAUUUAUGAGCUGCAGAAGCCACGGAGAGCAUCAUUGCUGUGAUCUCAGGUUAGACAGAAUACCUUUCUUUGCUUUCUUUUUGUUGUGAGACAAUGGUAGUCCCUUGCUUGAUUUAUUUUUUCCAUAUGAUCAAAUGACUCAAUAUUUCAUCUUUAAAAUACAGAUGGUCGGGGCUGGAGAGAUGGCUCAGCGGUUAAGAGCACCCGACUGCUCUUCCAGAGGUCAUGAGUUUAAUUCCCAGCAACCACAUGGUGGCUCACAACCAUCUGUAAAGAGAUCUGAUGCCCUCUUCUAGUGUAUCUGAAGACAGCUACAGUGUACUUAUAUAUAAUAAAUAAAAUAAAUCUAAAAAAAAAUACACAUGGUCUUUUUCUUCAUUUUACUCCAUGGGAAAACAAUGUAAAUGCCUCUUUGAGAUAUUUUUUUAUAUCAGUAUCACAAAUCAAAUUAUCUAUGCAUAACUGCUGAUCAAUGGAUUUUU